rnacentral:rRNA from 1 species
AUGACGGCGUCGGCAAGGUCGGGUGGCUUGCUCGCGCUCACGGAGGCCGAGGUGGUCGCGGUGCUCUGGGUCGUGCGCCGCCUCCGUCGCCGGCAGGAGGGGGCCGCAGAGGCCGCCGCGCAGCCCAGCGACCAGGAGCUCCCCAGUGAGCAGCCGUUCCGCUUCGCCGUCUGCCUCGCCCUCUUUGCCGUCCUCACUCCGUCCUCUUCUAUGUUUUCUGGAUUUGCCGCCGUCGCCUUCUCCGCUCCCAAGAUAGCCUCGCUCUCCUCCUUGGUGCCCAGCGGGAGAGGCAGCGGACGAAAAUCGAUGACGCCGACCCCCUCCUCCACGGCAGCGCCUUCGUCCCCGACGACACCCAGCAGCAGCUCACUCCCGGCCAAAACGAGGCAGCGUUCCCAAAUGUGA